AAAAGUUACAGGUGCACGCUUAGGGCCCACUAAAGCUGUGAUUAACAAAUCUCCCCCUUUGGUAUGUCUGAGCUGUCGGAUAUAAAUCCAUCCUCCAUUCCCCCGCCCACUGCUAAGGAAUGGAGGUUCUAGUUUUCCUGAUUCUGGGAGAGACUUUUAUCCUCGGCGGGGGAGGGAGCUGAAGGCACAACAGAAGAGCGGUUGCUGCUGCAGCUUGCACACACUCUGGCCAACCUCGAGACACUGGGUCUAAGAGCUUAGGGUUGGAUAAUGGUAUAGGAGGACACCUGCUCUGCAUUUUUCCUCCCCCUGCCCCGGACUGCUGAACCAUCGGGGGUGGGUAUCAAAGGGAGGGUAUCAAAGACACGAACUGGCAAUCAAUAGGGAGGCACGCAGCCUGCAGACUACAUCCAGGUCACAGUCCAGCCGCGCCGUCUCCAGCCAGUGUUGGAAAGUAAGAUGUGGGAAAGCAAGAUGUGUGGUUCCAGCCACCUGGAUGAUAAAGGAAGAUCAAUACUAACAUGACCAUCCGGACGUGAAUUUUGCCUGUCAGCUAAAGCCUUCAUAUUAACUGCAUUUUCCUGGAGAACCAGACACAUGUUUUGGUAAACCUAGCAAUGGAAUGCAAACUUAUUGAUAAGCAUGGAUGGACAUCUCGUGAGAGGGGCAACGAGAAACAGGUGACCAAGAAACUGACCAACUGUGUAUAACAUUCCAUUCACGUGAAUACUUCAUAUAAAAGUGGGAGAUCACGAGGAUCUCGGCCCUUUUCCCUUUUGCUCCCUUUUGCCUUUGCUUUUUCCCUUCUGCUUAUGGCCGACAUUAGGAGAGGACCUUGCUAGUCGUCCCUGCAAACUGAGGCCUAGUGAGAGACUGAAUCCAGCUCCGGUGUGCUGCAGAGUCUAAUCCAGGACUUUGGUUGCUGGCUCUGCAGUUGCUGAGACUUUCAAGAUUGGUUUUGUAUAUUUUGUAUUAUUUUCUCUAUUCUUAUUAGUAGCAAUAGUAAAACAUUGUUAAUUUUUCCAACUCUCUUCUCUCUGUCCUUCUUUCC